UGGCGGACGGGUGAGUAACGCGUGGAAAACCUGCCGUAUACUGGGGGAUAACACUUAGAAAUAGGUGCUAAUACCGCAUAAGCGCACAGCUUCGCAUGAAGCGGUGUGAAAACUCUGGUGGUAUACGAUGGUUCCGCGUCUGAUUAGCUAGUUGGUGGGGUAAUGGCCUACCAAGGCAACGAUCAGUAGCCGGCCUGAGAGGGUGAACGGCCACAUUGGGACUGAGACACGGCCCAAACUCCUACGGAAGGCAGCAG
rnacentral:rRNA from 1 species